GGGGCUUCCCACUGCACCUCCCCUAGCUUUUCCCGGUCCAGCCUUGGCAGGCCCUGCCUGGCUGAGACGCCCAGCAGGAGGGCCUCGGCACAGCCAGACGCGAUGACUCGGCAGCCCAACCCCAGCUGACCCGCCUUCAGAGUCCUGCCCAGGCCUCCUCCUCCAGGCAGGCAUCCUGCGGCUCGGCGCCCCCCCCUCCCCCCUGACUGACACCGACGACUUUUGCUGCUUGAAAGAAGACCCGGGUCGGCUGGCCUGGCUGCCCAAAAUAGCCCGCGCCCCUCCCCCGCCCGCGGCAGGGGCUGAUGGGAGUCCGACCCCAUUCCGGGAGCCCCUGCGGAGGCGGGGCCGCUGCUCCCCCCCUUCUUGCCCAAAGCCUCAGGCCUCCACUUCCUUCCGCCCCUCCCCCUCUGAGCCGGGAAAGAAGGGGGGCCUCAGCCUGCAGCGCCUCCCUUGGCCGGCCUGCAGGCUCGGAGCUGGGCUGCCCGGCCCCUCCUCCCCCACCGCCGGGCGCCCAGCCGACGAGGCUGGAGGGCGGAGCGGCUGCGCGAGCCCCUUGGUCCGAGCCGGCUCCCCCCUUAUCGGAACUCUGUGCUUCUCCGGGCGCCCGGCAGGAAAGAUAAGGGAGCCGCCGCCGCCAAGGGGCUCCGUCCGCCGACUCCUCGCGUCCAGACCGGCAGGGGCUCGGGAGGGAUCCCAGAGGGCUUCCUGGAGGAGGCAGCGUGAGUCUGAAGGCGCAUCUCGGAGCUGAGCACUGCUGUGACGGAGGCCCGCAGGUGUAGAGGUGCUGACCGUGGCUGGGGAUGAGCGCCCGGCCCUCUCCCGUCCUGGGCUCCUUUGCUGCCUCUCCUGGGGUGCGCAUAUGCUGCCCUCCUCCUGCCUAGGAGCACAUUCAAGGGUCUCCACCCUAAAAGGAGGCCGAAGGAAAAGCCCUUGCUGGCCCCUGUUCCUCCCUUAGACCGGCUCCCUCACACGCUGGCUCGCUCAUUCCUUCACUCACUCACUCAUUCAUUCAUUCACUCACUCAUUCAUUCACUCACUCAUUCAUUCACUCACUCCAUUCAAUCAUUCACUCACUCCAUUCACUCAUUCAUUCAUUCACUCAUUCAUUCAUUCACUCACUCAUUCAUUCACACACACUCAAUCAUUCACUCACUCCAUUCACUCAUUCAUUCAUUCAUUCACUCACUCAUUCAUUCAUUCACUCACUCCAUUCACUCAUUCAUUCAUUCACUCACUCACUUAUUCAUUCUCACUUGUUCAUUCCUUCACUCACUCACUCAUUCAUUCAUUCACCGAUUCAUUCACUCACUCAUUCAUUCACUCACUCAUUCAUUCAUUCACUCACUCAUUCAUUCACUCACUCAUCAUUCACUCACUCAUUCACUCACUCAUUCAUUUACUCACUCAUUCAUUUACUCACUCAGUCAUUCACUCAUUCAUUCAUUCACUUACUCACUCACUCAGUCACUCACUCAUUCACUCUUUCACUCACUCACUCACAUUCAUUCAUUCACUCACUCAUUCAUUCACUCACUCAUCAUUCACUCACUCAUUCAUUUACUCAUUCAUUCACUCUUUCACUCACUUAUUCACUCACUCACUCACAUUCAUUCAUUCACUCACACUCAUUCAUUCACUCUUUCACUCACUCACUCACAUUCAUUCAUUCACUCACUCAUUCAUUCACUCACAUUCAUUCAUUCACUCACUCAUUCAUUCACUCACUCACACUCAUUCAUUCACUCACUCAUUCAUUCAUUCAUUCACUCACUCACUCAUUCAUUCACCCAUUCAUUCAUUCACUCACUCAUUCAUUCAUGCAGCAGGGAUUUGUGGUAUGUCUGGGUUCAUUCUCCCAAAGCCAGGCAGAAUUCCAGAACACUGAAGGAUUUGUAG
ensembl:lncRNA